UGGUACACGUUCGGUGGAGGAACCAGACUGGAUGUUGGAAGUGAUGUCCGUCCCACCCUGACGGUGCUGCCCCCCUCCAGCCAGGAGCUGCAGCAGGGGAAGGCCACGCUCACGUGUCUGGCCAACAAGGGCUUCCCCUCAGACUGGAGUCUGGCCUGGAAGGUGGACGGCAGCAGCAGCAGCAGCUGGGAGCAGAGCAGGAGCCCCGGGGUGCUGCAGCAGGACGGCCACUACAGCUGGAGCAGCACCCUGAGGCUCACUGCAGACCAGUGGAGGAAGGUGGGCUCUGUGACCUGUGAGGCCACCCAGGGCUCCCAGACUCCACUCUCAGAGACACUGAGGAGAGACCAGUGUUCCCAGUCCUGA